rnacentral:rRNA from 1 species
CAGUCGCCGCGGGAAUACGAAGGGGGCUAGCGUUGUUCGGAAUUACUGGGCGUAAAGCGCACGUAGGCGGACAUUUAAGUCAGGGGUGAAAUCCCGGGGCUCAACCCCGGAACUGCCUUUGAUACUGGGUGUCUAGAGUAUGGAAGAGGUGAGUGGAAUUCCGAGUGUAGAGGUGAAAUUCGUAGAUAUUCGGAGGAACACCAGUGGCGAAGGCGGCUCACUGGUCCAUUACUGACGCUGAGGUGCGAAAGCGUGGGGAGCAAACAGGAUUAGAUACCCGGGUAGUCCCUGUCUCUUAUAA